rnacentral:tRNA from 1 species
AAGAAAGUGGCAGACCGGUGAUGCGGCUGACUUGAAAUCCGCUUAUGGGGGUUCGAUUCCCUCCUUUCUCG